rnacentral:rRNA from 1 species
AUUGCAGGCUGCAACUCGCCUGCAUGAAGUCGGAAUUGCUAGUAAUCGUAGGUCAGCAUACUACGGUGAUACGUUCCCGGGCCUUGUACACACCGCCCGUCAAACCAUGAGAGUUGGCAACACCCGAAGUCGGUAGUCUAACCGCAAGGAGGACGCCGCCGAAGGUGGGGUUGAUGAUUAGGGUUAAGUCGUAACAAGGUAAC